UGAGACUCUGUGCGCGUGCAUAUCAAUAAGCGGAGGAAAAGAAACUAACAAGGAUUCCCCUAGUAACGGCGAGUGAAGCGGGAAGAGCUCAAAUUUGAAAUCUUAAAGGGUUUCCCUUUACGAAUUGUAGUUUAAAGAAGUGUUUUCUGUUGGAGUUUCGGUAAAAGUUCUUUGGAAUAGGACAUCAUAGAGGGUGAGAAUCCCGUAUUUGACCGUUACUUUCCAGCUGUGUGAUACACUUUCAAAGAGUCGGAUUGUUUGGGAAUGCAGUCCAAAAUGGGUGGUAAAUUUCAUCUAAAGCUAAAUAUUGGCGAGAGACCGAUAGCGAACAAGUACCGUGAGGGAAAGAUGAAAAGAACUUUGAAAAGAGAGUUAAACAGUACGUGAAAUUGUCAAAAGGGUAGCGUUUGACACCAGUGUUGUUUAGUUGAAAAUCAAUUAAAUAAUUUUUGAUUUUAAGUAGUAUUGACCUUCAUCAGCUUGCUGCUUUCUUUCUCAGGAAUUAUUGAAUGCACUUUUCAGUUAACAAGUCAACAUCAAUUUCUUUUGUUGUAAAAAGGUAAGAGGAAGGUGGCUUGCGCUUCGGCUCAAGUGUUUAUAGCCUUUUACCCCUGCAAUCGGAGAGAUUGAGGUCUGCAGCGUAGAUCCUUCGGGGUUAGAUACAUUUGUGCUAAGCUAUAGCCUUGUAUAGACAACUUGUUGACUAUGCUCAGUCAUGUAGCUUACUCGCUUAUGCUAUUUUACCUACGCUUAGGAUGUUGAACUCUAUCACACACAG
rnacentral:rRNA from 1 species